UAGGGAAUCUUCGGCAAUGGGGGCAACCCUGACCGAGCAACGCCGCGUGAGUGAAGAAGGUUUUCGGAUCGUAAAGCUCUGUUGUAAGAGAAGAACGUGUGUCAGAGUGGAAAGUUCACACAGUGACGGUAACUUACCAGAAAGGGACGGCUAACUACGUGCCAGCAGCCGCGGUAAUACGUAGGUCCCGAGCGUUGUCCGGAUUUAUUGGGCGUAAAGCGAGCGCAGGCGGUUUAAUAAGUCUGAAGUUAAAGGCAGUGGCUUAACCAUUGUUCGCUUUGGAAACUGUUAAACUUGAGUGCAGAAGGGGAGAGUGGAAUUCCAUGUGUAGCGGUGAAAUGCGUAGAUAUAUGGAGGAACACCGGUGGCGAAAGCGGCUCUCUGGUCUGUAACUGACGCUGAGGCUCGAAAGCGUGGGGAGCAAACAGG
rnacentral:rRNA from 1 species